AGCUGGAGAGUAUCCCGUUGUCUGGAUGUGCCACAGAGCUGCACAGAUUAUUUGUCACCUACUGAACAGCAACUCCAUCGCUUUAGGUCCUGAGAGCCUUGCAGUCUCAUAAACCCACUGAAACUCACCGAGCCCGAUCUGCUGACAUCAUUCCUACUGCUUUUCACCACCAGCCUCCCUAGACUCCCAGCAGCAGUUCUUUGGAAUAAAAUCAGACCACAGCAGGCUACUUACAGCUUCUGCAAGGUGCUAUCAACAGGUCCUGACAGCUACCCAGAAGCCUGCAUUUCCAUCUGCUCCAAACUCAUGCUCGAGAGAAGAUUCUGGGCCUCCCGGUGACCUGACGUGGUUGAGCUGUGCAGCCUUUCUCCUUGAUUCUUAUUGCAAGGCAUCAGCAAGACUAGCCAGUAAUUACCUUCCAAGUAAUUGCACAACGUCUGCAUGCGUCUUGCAAACCUGGUCUGGAGCCACACGGUACGUGCAGAAUGAGAAGUCUUUACACGACGGGAUCUGCCACUGCCUGCACGGCUCCCCCCAAGGGGAUGAUGGGAAGAUAACUGGAGGGGCCGCGCCAGAGUUUCGUUUGGUGAUCACACAGGGACACAGCUCUGGUCACCAACUAUGAGCAGCCUGCUGUGGAAAGACACUCAACAGGAGAAGCAUUCUGAAGCGGUGAGCUGGAGGCAAGCAGCCCUCAGAGUCCAGCCUGGCAGGAGCCAAGCUCAGCGACCACCUGCAUCUCCGUAACCACGUCCCCCACCUCCGCCAGGAACAGAGGCAACGGGUAUGCUUAUCACACUCUACACUCUCUGGCCUUCGAGGAAGAAGCCACCAGGGUCAAUUCCAGCACUAAAGCAAGAUGGUGCAGGAGGCCCAGGCUGACCCUUCGCCAAAGGUCAGGCAGCCCCUGGCUCUUCCUGCCUCUCUGUCAGAAAGAAGACUUUUUAUGACUUUAUUUUAAAUCUGUUCUGUAGAAGGCUUUUCCUGGAAGAGGAGAUUCUGAGGCAAAGAUUGUCAGCAGUCUCGGCAGGAGCUGUCAGAACGUGGUGUUCCAAUAACAGUUCUUGGCAGAGCUUGGAGCUCCCUCCUGGGGUUGGAGCUGGCUUGGCGGGAGAUGAAGGGGCCUGAGGCCAGGCUGCCUGUGACCCACAUCCCGGGCAAGUGCUCUCAGCAGCACGCUUGGACCUUGGUGGGACAUCAGAACCACUGCUGGUGCUGGGCGAUUUCCCUUUCUCCUACAAAUAGGUCCCAAGGAGACCACUGGGACUGUUUGAAAUCCACAUGUUGUUUCUCCAAGGGUUCUUCCAACCCCAGAAGGAUGGACCCUCCCCAUGUUCCUAAAGAAGGCUUUUUUCUUUUCUUUUCUUUUCUUUUUUUUGUUUUGU